UCUGUGAAUAUUUUCCACUGACUAACCCAGAGGACCCCAAACCCGGAGCCGAGGGCAGGCGCUACCUGCCUGCUGCCGGCGGGGUCGGGAGAGACGAACCCGGGAGCGGCGCUCACCGGGGAGCCGCGCCUCCUGCCCCGGACUGAUACCUGAAAUAAUUAGAAGGAGCAAGUCAUGGUGCUCACAGCCUCCUACCUGCUGUUCUGCAAAUGGGACUUCACCACACUGAGCUGCUUCCCAGUGCAGGAAAUCUCACUGACCACCGUCGGCCACUUCACCAUCCCAGAGAAAACUGGAGAAGUAGUGCGAGUGAAUUCUCUCCAGAUAAAACUGCUGUCAGGACGGGACCUGCAGGUCACUGUUUCAGUUAGUAGAGCUCCAUUCAGUUAAUUCCCAGCCAGUGCUGAGAUCCAUCACCUUUCAUUGUCAUGGAAAAACGUUCAUAAAGAGCUACAAAAGGAGCUGCUAGAGGAAGUCCCUUCUCCAGCACUGGCAGAGCUGCUGUACGUUCUCAUGUCCUGAGCAGUCAAUUCACGUCAUCG